rnacentral:lncRNA from 1 species
AACUAUGUUACUGAUUUGUGUAUUUAUUAUACUAUUUAUCAUUUUAGAUUAUAUUCCUAAUACUUUAAAAGUUAUCAGCAUAUUACAGUGGUGUAGCCACAUCAAAGUUUAUAGCAGCUCACUUCACAAUAGCUAAACUAUGGAACCAACCUAGGUGCCCUUAACAUAUGAAUGAAUUAAAAAAAAUGUGGUGUGUGUGUGUGUGUGUGUGUGUGUGUGUGAGAGAGAGAGAGAGAGAGAGAGAGAGAGAGAAUAUAUUACUCAGCCUUAAAGAAGAAUGAAAUUAUGGUUUGCCGGUAAAUAGGUGGAGUUGGAAAAAUACCAUGCUAAGUGAAAUAAGCCAAUCCCCAAAAAUCAAAAGCCGAAUGUUUUCUUCCCUGAUAUGGGGAAGCUAAUUCACAAUAUGGGGGGAGGGACUAGGGAAAAAUAGAGUUACUUUAGGUAGAAGGAGG